GAUGAACGCUGGCGGCGUGGAUAAGGCAUGCAAGUCAAGGGGUCCCGAGAGCAAUCGAGGGAAACCGGCAGACGAGGUAGUAACACGUAGGUACGCACCCUUUAGUCUGGCAUAGCUUCUCGAAAGAGAAGGUAAUACCAGAUGUUGUAGCAAUACCAAAGAAGUAAUUCGCUAAAGGAGCGGCCUGCGGCCUAUCAGCUAGUUGGUGAGGUAAUGGCUCACCAAGGCUAUGACGGGUAGGAGAGCUGAGAGGCUCUACUCCACCGGGGGAACUGAGACACGAUCCCCACACCUACGGGUGGCUGCAGUCGAGAAUCUUCCGCAAUGGGCGAAAGCCUGACGGAGCGACGCCGCGUGAGUGAUGAAGUCCUUCGGGACGUAAAACUCUUUUAGAGCCGAGAAAUUUUGAUGAUAGUAGGCUCUGAAUAAGGAGCUCCAAACUCUGUG
rnacentral:rRNA from 1 species